UUCUGGGAGGAUUGACAGAUUGAGGGCUCUUUGUUGAAUUGGUGGAUGGUGGCGCAUGUCCGUUCUUAGUUGGUGGAGGGAUAUGUCUGGUCAAUUCCGAUAAUGAACGAGACUCUAGUCUAUUAAAUAGGUGCGUGGUUCUCUGCACCUUGCAUCCUUCUCAGGCGGAGAAGCGACUCCUAGCCGCACGAAACAGAGCAAUAACAGGUCUGUGAUGCCCUUAGAU
rnacentral:rRNA from 1 species